CACAGCACUCUGCAACACGAAAGUGGACGUAUAGGGUGUGACGCCUGCCCGGUGCCGGAAGAUUAAAUGAUGGGGUGCAAGCUCUUGAUUGAAGUCCCGGUAAACGGCGGCCGUAACUAUAACGGUCCUAAGGUAGCGAAAUUCCUUGUCGGGUAAGUUCCGACCUGCACGAAUGGCGUAACGAUGGCCACACUGUCUCCUCCCGAGACUCAGCGAAGUUGAAGUGUUUGUGAUGAUGCAAUCUACCCGCGGCUAGACGGAAAGACCCCAUGAACCUUUACUGUAGCUUUGCAUUGGACUUUGAACCGAUCUGUGUAGGAUAGGUGGGAGGCUAUGAAACCGGAACGCUAGUUUCGGUGGAGCCGUCCUUGAAAUACCACCCUGGUUUGUUUGAGGUUCUAACCUUGGCCCGUGAUCCGGGUCGGGGACAGUGCAUGGUAGGCAGUUUGACUGGGGCGGUCUCCUCCCAAAGCGUAACGGAGGAGUACGAAGGUACGCUAGGUACGGUCGGAAAUCGUGCUGAUAGUGCAAUGGCAUAAGCGUGCUUAACUGCGAGACCGACAAGUCGAGCAGGUGCGAAAGCAGGUCAUAGUGAUCCGGUGGUUCUGUAUGGAAGGGCCAUCGCUCAACGGAUAAAAGGUACUCUGGGGAUAACAGGCUGAUACCGCCCAAGAGUUCAUAUCGACGGCGGUGUUUGGCACCUCGAUGUCGGCUCAUCUCAUCCUGGGGCUGUAGCCGGUCCCAAGGGUAUGGCUGUUCGCCAUUUAAAGAGGUACGUGAGCUGGGUUUAAAACGUCGUGAGACAGUUUGGUCCCUAUCUGCCGUGGGCGUUGGAAGUUUGAAGGGGGCUGCUCCUAGUACGAGAGGACCGGAGUGGACGAACCUCUGGUGUACCGGUUGUGACGCCAGUCGCAUCGCCGGGUAGCUAUGUUCGGAAGAGAUAACCGCUGAAAGCAUCUAAGCGGGAAACUCGCCUUAAGAUGAGACUUCCCCGGGGACUUGAUCCCCUUGAAGGGUCGUUCGAGACCAGGACGUUGAUAGGUCGGGUGUGUAAGCGCAGUAAUGCGUUCAGCUAACCGAUACUAAUUGCCCGUACGGCUUGAUCCU
rnacentral:rRNA from 1 species